CUUUUUUAUAAAAUAACCCUCUAAAAUUUAAAAAUUUACGAAAUAACCCUCUCAAAAUUUUAUGCGGAAAACUAACCUUUCUUUCGCCACAUCGGCGCCACAUCAGAAUUUCUUUUAAAAGCGGUGAAUCAUUCCCCGCUUUCUCCCCUUUUUUUUAAAGGCGGUAAAUGAUUCCCUGCUUUCUCCCAUUUCUUUUAAAGACGGUGAAUCAUUCACCGCCUUUCACGUAUUUACUGUUUUUUUUUAUAUUCGAUAAAUAAUCCUAACAACCACAUAAAAAUUUUAUAAAAUCACAUAUAAUCUUAACAACUUUUAAAUCAUAAUAAUUUAUCCAUAUAAUUUCAUAUAAUCUUAACCGCCUGAAAAUCCUAAUAAUCUAUCCAUACAAUCCUAAUAAUCAAAUAAAAAUUCUAAUGAUCCACAUAUAAUCCUAACAACCUCACUUUUUUCUAUUUCCUAUAUGAUCCAGCACAAUUUUAAUAAAUAAAUGCGGUGAACGAUUCACCGCAUUUAAAAGAAAUAAAAGAAAGCGGGAAACAAGAAAAAAGCGAGAAACGAUUCACAGCCUUAAAAAAAAUGAGAAAAAACGGAGAACGAUUCACCGUCUUUGUUAAGGAAAAUCCUGACAUGGCGCCCACGUGGCGAAAGAAGGAUUAGUUUUGCAAAUAAAAUUUUUACAAAGUCACUUUGUCAAUUACAGUUUUUUGAAGGGUCAUUUUAUAAAAAAGCCCCAGCUCGACUUCUACAUGCAAAUCUUACAUAUAUCAGACAAAAAUAUGAAUGGCUUAUUAUUACUUCAAGAAUUUGUACAUUGAUAUGGUAAAUUCAUGGAAAUAUAUAUAAUCGAAACAGAUCCAAGCAAAAGGAUNAAUAAUCUAUCCAUACAAUCCUAAUAAUCAAAUAAAAAUUCUAAUGAUCCACAUAUAAUCCUAACAACCUCACUUUUUUCUAUUUCCUAUAUAAUCCAGCACAAUUUUAAUAAAUAAAUACGGUGAACGAUUCACCGCAUUUAAAAGAAAUAGAAGAAAGCGGGAAACGAUUCACCGCUUUUAAAAGAAAAGAAAAAAGCGAAAAACGAUUCACCGCCUUAAAAAAAAUGAGAGAGAACGGAGAACGAUUCACCGUCUUUGUAAGGAAAUCCUGACGUGGCGUCCACGUGGCGAAAUGAGAAUUAGUUUUACAAAUAAAAUUUUUACAGGAUCAUUUUGUCAAUUACAGUUUUUUGGAGGGUCAUUUUAUAAAAAA
rnacentral:lncRNA from 1 species